rnacentral:rRNA from 1 species
GACGAACGCUGGCGGCGUGCCUAAUACAUGCAAGUAGGACGCUGAAGAGAGGAGCUUACUCUUCUUGGAUGAGUUGCGAACGGGUGAGUAACGCGUAGGUAACCUGCCUUGUAGCGGGGGAUAACUAUUGGAAACGAUAGCUAAUACCGCAUAACAAUGGAUGACACAUGUCAUUUAUUUGAAAGGGGCAAUUGCUCCACUACAAGAUGGACCUGCGUUGUAUUAGCUAGUAGGUGAGGUAAUGGCUCACCUAGGCGACGAUACAUAGCCGACCUGAGAGGGUGAUCGGCCACACUGGGACUGAGACACGGCCCAGACUCCUACGGGAGGCAGCAGUAGGGAAUCUUCGGCAAUGGGGGCAACCCUGACCGAGCAACGCCGCGUGAGUGAAGAAGGUUUUCGGAUCGUAAAGCUCUGUUGUAAGUCAAGAACGGGUGUGAGAGUGGAAAGUUCACACUGUGACGGUAGCUUACCAGAAAGGGACGGCUAACUACGUG